UGGGUCUGUGAGCUGACCAAUCAGCUAUCAACUAGGCUACGUUAGAUCGCUAGAUUUACGUCUCCUCACGUCCCUUUUGGCGCUACAUCGGAACGUAAGCGGCUGUUAUUCACUUGAAUGAAAGAGAGCUGUGGCUGAAUCCACUGUCGUCACGGAGUUAAAGGCAGUGAAUUCCAUUAAAAUGGUGGAGGAUGUGGAGAUUUGAGAAGCGCUACUCACGGGAGGUCCGGUCCA